GUUUUUUGAUAAUACCAUCAUGAAAUUUGAGACUCUCUAUUCUAUGAAGAAGCAUAAUAAUGGUGAUAAAUUGUGGAUGAGUGUUAAGUUGGAUAUGAGUAAGACUUAUGAUAGGGUAGAGUGGUCUUUCUUGGACUCUAUGAUGAAGGCUAUGGGGUUCUAUGCAGUUUGGCGCGAAUUUAUUCUUAGAAGUAUUAAAAGUCCUCAGUUUUCUUUCAUCAUUAAUGGUACUUCUGGGGGCCAUGUUGUUUCAACUCACAAUUUAAGACAAGGUUGCCCACUUUCUUCCUAUUUAUUUCUUAUUUGUGUCGAGGGCUUGUCAAAACUUGUAGUUUGGGCUGGGAAGAGGGUGUUCUUGUUAGGUUGUCAAGCAAUAGAGGGCCUCGUAUUAGUCACUUAUUUUUCGCGAAUGAUAGUGUAAUUUUUUGUAAGGCUUCUAUUGUUGAAUGUCAAGCCUUGUUGUAUGUUCUAUGCACUUAUGAGAAGGCUUCUAGUCAAUUUGUUAACCUUGGAAAAUCUCUAAUUGGUAUCCACAUAUUAAAAUCAUGACAAUCAUGCCCUUAAGUCAUAAACUUUAUUCCAAAAUAGACCACAUAAAUUUGACUUAUUUAUUUGAUGACCCAACACACAUUUUAUAUAUACAGUUGUGACCCCAAUUAUUUCUAACAUUUUAGUCCUAGUGUUCCUGUUGCUGUGAAGCAAGACAUUAAGGAUGUUAUGGGGUUGUAUGUGUGUUCAGCGAUGUCAAAGUACCUUGGAUUUCCUUUUACUAUUGGCAGAAAGAAGAAGGCGAUGUUUGAGGAUAUUAAAGAUCGGGUUUGAAAAAAACUUUUAAGUGUGGAAAGGAUAUGGAAGCGAUGGUGGCCUGUUCAAUGGUGGCUCUUUUUGGUGGGGUUCAACAGAUGAUAAACAUAAGAUGCAUUGGAAGAAGUAGGAAGAUCUUUGUGUGCCUAAACAUGAAGGGAUUGGGUUUUAGUAAUCUUGAAAUAUUUAAUCAAGCCUUGGUUGCAAAACAAGGGUGAUGUCUUUUGACUCACCCAACUUGUCUCAUGGCUAGAGUGCUCAAAGCUAACUAUUUUAAAAAUGGUGAUUCUCUUCAUGUGGAAAAGAAGGGUGGUAUUUCCUUUGUGUGGUGUAGUACUCUUUGGAGCAGGAGGUGUUGGAGUUGGCAUUAGAUGGAGAGUUGGUGAUGAGUCUCAAACUCAUCCAACAUAUGACCCUUGGCUCCCCCAUUUGUCUACGUUUCAUCCUUUCACAAACCUAGAAGUUCUUGGCCCUUUAUGGCGGGUAAAGAAUUUCACCACUGAUGGGCAUUUGAAUAUUGAUUAUCUCAAACAAAUCUUUUGAGAAGUGGAUAUUGUAAUCAAAAUUUCGACAUUCUUCUCAAUUUUCGUGAUAUUGCUGACCAAAUUAUGUGGCAUUUCACUUUGUAUGGUGAGUAUAGUGUUAAGUCGGGGUACCAUGCUAUAAUAGAAGCCUCUCAUGAUAUUUCUAUUUCUAGCUCAGUUAAGGCCAAAUGGUGGAGGAAAAUGUGGCAGCUUCAUAACCCAUCCAAAAUAAAAAAUUUCUUAUGAAGGUUGUCCACAAUAUUCUUCUAGUGUCUCAUGUGCUUCAUCAUAGGAGAAUCAAGGUUUCUUCUAGAUGUUUCCGGUGUGGAGAGGACACGAAAUAUAUUACUCGUGCUCAUUUUGGCUGCCCUUAUUCAGUUCUGUGUUGGGAAAAUACGAUUUGGACUUCUAAAGUUAUUUAGUGGUGUGCUCUAAGUGCGAGGAUUUGCUUCCCAUCAUCUUCGAAAAAUUUCCCAUUAGUGAAAAUUGAGGCUUUUGCUACUGUUAUGCGGAUCACUUAGUUUGAACUGAAUAAAUAUAGGUAUAGAGAGACUAAUUGGUCUUUGAAUUCAGUCAGUUCUUAUGUGGGUCGUUUUCUCUUUGAUUAGCAGACAAGCUCCAAUGGUGGUGAACAAGGGCAACAAAUUAUCCAGUCUUAUUAUUGGUGAUAUCUAAAUUCUUUUAGUUCUUAAGUUAAUUCUUGUUGCUUUAUUUCUCGUGAGGGGAAUAAAGUAGCCCAUCAUUUGGCAAAGAUAAGUAAUUUUUCUCUUUUGUUGACAAUUGUAUUACUCAUUUUAUUAGAAUGUUUGCUGUUUAACGAAAAAUUUCUAAUUUCAAAAAAAAAAAUAAUUAAAAAAUUAAUCAUAAUAUUUGUA